CUACGGGUUGCUCCAGUGGGGAAUAUUGCACAAUGGGCGCAAGCCUGAUGCAGCCAUGCCGCGUGUAUGAAGAAGGCCUUCGGGUUGUAAAGUACUUUCAGCGGGGAGGAAGGGAGUAAAGUUAAUACCUUUGCUCAUUGACGUUACCCGCAGAAGAAGCACCGGCUAACUCCGUGCCAGCAGCCGCGGUAAUGCGGAGGGUGCAAGCGUUAAUCGGAAUUACUGGGCGUAAAGCGCACGCAGGCGGUUUGUUAAGUUAGAUGUGAAAUCCCCGGGCUCAACCUGGGAACUGCAUCUGAUACUGGCAAGCUUGAGUCUCGUAGAGGGGGGUAGAAUUCCAGGUGUAGCGGUGAUAUGCGUAGAGAUCUGGAGGAAUACCGGUGGCGAAGGCGGCCCCCUGGACGAAGACUGACGCUCAGGUGCGAAAGCGUGGGGAGCAAACAGGAUUAGAUACCCGCGUAGUC
rnacentral:rRNA from 1 species